UACGUAGGGUGCAAGCGUUACUCGGAAUUACUGGGCGUAAAGCGUGCGCAGGCGGCUAUGCAAGACAGAUGUGAAAUCCCCGGGCUCAACCUGGGAACUGCAUUUGUGACUGCAUAGCUAGAGUACGGUAGAGGGGGAUGGAAUUCCGCGUGUAGCAGUGAAAUGCGUAGAUAUGCGGAGGAACACCGAUGGCGAAGGCAAUCCCCUGGACCUGUACUGACGCUCAGGCACGAAAGCGUGGGGAGCAAACAGG
rnacentral:rRNA from 1 species